GGGGAAUAUUGGACAAUGGGGGAAACCCUGAUCCAGCAAUGCCGCGUGAGUGAAGAAGGCCUAAGGGUUGUAAAGCUCUUUUAUUAGGGUAGAUAAUGACUGUACCUAAUGAAUAAGUCCCGGCUAACUCCGUGCCAGCAGCCGCGGUAAUACGGAGGGGGCAAGCGUUGUUCGGAAUGACUGGGCGUAAAGGGCGUGUAGGCGGUUACACAAGUCAGACGUGAAAGCCCUGGGCUUAACCCAGGAAUUGCGUUUGAGACUGUGUGACUAGAGUACGAGAGAGGAAAGCAGAAUUUCCAGUGUAGAGGUGAAAUUCGUAGAUAUUGGAGGGAAUACCAGUGGCGAAGGCGGCUUUCUGGAUCGUAACUGACGCUGAGGCGCGAAAGCGUGGGGAGCAAAC
rnacentral:rRNA from 1 species